rnacentral:rRNA from 1 species
AGUCACUGACAUUAGAUACCCGCGUAGUCCCAGCCGUAAACAAUGUGCGUUAGGUGUGUCGGUAACCACGCGUUACUGAUGCGCCGAAGAGAAAUCGUGAAACGCACCACCUGGGAAGUACGGUCGCAAGGCUGAAACUUAAAGGAAUUGGCGGGGGAGCACCACAACAGGUGGAGCCCUGCGGUUUAAUUGGAUCAACGCCGGACAUCUCACCGGGAUAAGACAGCUGAAUGAUUGUCAAUCUGAAGGUUUUACAUGACUAGCUG